rnacentral:rRNA from 1 species
GGCUAGGGGGUCAUCCCGACUUACCAACCCUUUGCAAACUCCGAAUACCAAUGAGUGAUAUGCGGGAGACACACUACGGGUGCUAACGUCCGUUGUGAAGAGGGAAACAACCCAGACCGCCAGCUAAGGUCCCAAAGUACUAGUUAAGUGGGAAACGAUGUGGAAAGGCAUAGACAGCUAGGAGGUUGGCUUAGAAGCAGCCAUCCUUUAAAGAAAGCGUAAUAGCUCACUAGUCGAGUCGGUCUGCGCGGAAGAUGUAACGGGGCUAAACUAGUCACCGAAGCUGCGGAUUCAAUCUUAGGAUUGAGUGGUAGGGGAGCGUUCUGUAAGCCGUUGAAGGUGUGUUGUAAAGCAUGCUGGAGGUAUCAGAAGUGCGAAUGCUGACAUGAGUAACGAUAAGGGGAGUGAAAAACUCCCCCGCCGAAAGACCAAGGUUUCCUGUCCCAUGUUAAUCAGGGCAGGGUAAGUCGGCCCCUAAGGCGAGGCGGAAACGCGUAGUCGAUGGGAAACAGAUUAAUAUUUCUGUACUUCUAUAUAUUGCGAAGGAGGGACGGAGUAGGCUAGGUGAGCACGGCGUUGGUAGUCCGUGUGAAAGUAUGUAGGUGGUUAGUUUAGGUAAAUCCGGACUUUCAUUCAACACUGAGAUACGAGACGAGACUCUACGGAGUUGAAGUCAUUGAUGCCAUGCUUCCAGGAAAAGCUUCUAAGCUUCAGAUAUAUAGGAACCGUACCCCAAACCGACACAGGUGGUUAGGUAGAGAAUACUAAGGCGCUUGAGAGAACUCGGGUGAAGGAACUAGGCAAAAUAGUACCGUAACUUCGGGAGAAGGUACGCUCUCUAAUGUGAAUGACUUGCUCAGUAAGCAUCGGAGAGUCGAAGUAACCAGGUGGCUGGAACUGUUUAUUAAAAACACAGCACUGUGCAAAAUCGAAAGAUGACGUAUACGGUGUGACGCCUGCCCGGUGCCGGAAGGUUAAUUGAUUGGGUUAGUCCUCGGACGAAGCUCAUGAUCGAAGCCCCGGUAAACGGCGGCCGUAACUAUAACGGUCCUAAGGUAGCGAAAUUCCUUGUCGGG